rnacentral:rRNA from 1 species
AUUGAACGCUGGCGGCAGGCCUAACACAUGCAAGUCGAGCGGCAGCGGGAAAGUAGCUUGCUACUUUUGCCGGCGAGCGGCGGACGGGUGAGUAAUGCCUGGGAAAUUGCCCAGUCGAGGGGGAUAACAGUUGGACACGACUGCUAAUACCGCAUACGCCCUACGGGGAACGCCGGGGACCUUCGGGCCUUGCGCGAUUGGAUCUGACCAGGGGGGAUUAGCUAGUUGGUGAGGUAAUGGCUCACCAAGGCGACGAUCCCUAGCUGGUAUGAGAGGAUGCUCAGCCACACUGGAACUGAGACGCGGUCCAGACUCCUACGGGAGGCAGCAGUGGGGAAUAUUGCACAAUGGGGGAAACCCUGAUGCAGCCAUGCCGCGUGUGUGAAGAAGGCCUUCGGGUUGUAAAGCACUUUCAGCGAGGAGGAAAGGUUGAUGCCUAAUACGUAUCGACUGUGACGUUACUCGCAGAAGAAGCACCGGCUAACUCCGUGCCAGCCGCCGCAGUAA